rnacentral:rRNA from 1 species
AUGACGAAAGAAAUGUAUGCUCAGUUAUUCCCAAAAGAACAAAGCACAUUCUUAAACAUGAAUGAAUCUAUACAUGAAAAAUUAAGAUGGAAGGACGUCACAGUGGAAACACCCCUUGUAUCUCCUCAUGGUAUUUAUUACAUCUUCUUAACUUUAUAUACACCAACCUUUUUGAACAUAUGCUUGUACAGUACUAGCUACCAGUUCUUCUCUCAUAGAAACUAUUGCAUCGAAUCAAUUUUUGUAGGCACACAUCCUGAAUUGCAAAGGAGUGCAAGUUAUCAAAUUGAAAGGAAUGAGUUGACUGUACCUGCGUCCACUUGCAACAUGUUGACCAACAGAAGUAGUUCAGGUGGAAAAAAACACCAUUCUACACAGCUGAUAAGUGGGCCGGGGUCUAUCAUUGAAUGA